UUAAGUUAGAAAGGGCGCACGGUGGAUGCCUUGACACUAGGAGUCGAUGAAGGACGGGACUAACGCCGAUAUGCUUCGGGGAGCUGUAAGUAAGCUUUGAUCCGAAGAUUUCCGAAUGGGGAAACCCACCAUACGUAAUGGUAUGGUAUCCUUAUCUGAAUACAUAGGGUAAGGAAGACAGACCCAGGGAACUGAAACAUCUAAGUACCUGGAGGAAGAGAAAGCAAAUGCGAUUUCCUGAGUAGCGGCGAGCGAAACGGAACAUAGCCCAAACCAAGAGGCUUGCCUCUUGGGGUUGUAGGACAUUCUAUACGGAGUUACAAAGGAACGAGGUAGACGAAGCGACCUGGAAAGGUCCGUCGUAGAGGGUAACAACCCCGUAGUCGAAACUUCGUUCUCUCUUGAAUGUAUCCUGAGUACGGCGGAACACGUGAAAUUCCGUCGGAAUCUGGGAGGACCAUCUCCCAAGGCUAAAUACUCCCUAGUGAUCGAUAGUGAACCAGUACCGUGAGGGAAAGGUGAAAAGCACCCCGGAAGGGGAGUGAAAGAGAUCCUGAAACCGUGUGCCUACAAAUAGUCAGAGCCCGUUAACGGGUGAUGGCGUGCCUUUUGUAGAAUGAACCGGCGAGUUACGAUCCCGUGCGAGGUUAAGCUGAAGAGGCGGAGCCGCAGCGAAAGCGAGUCUGAAUAGGGCGUUUAGUACGUGGUCGUAGACCCGAAACCAGGUGAUCUACCCAUGUCCAGGGUGAAGUUCAGGUAACACUGAAUGGAGGCCCGAACCCACGCACGUUGAAAAGUGCGGGGAUGAGGUGUGGGUAGCGGAGAAAUUCCAAUCGAACCUGGAGAUAGCUGGUUCUCCCCGAAAUAGCUUUAGGGCUAGCCUUAAGUGUAAGAGUCUUGGAGGUAGAGCACUGAUUGGACUAGGGGUCCUCAUCGGAUUACCGAAUUCAGUCAAACUCCGAAUGCCAAUGACUUAUCCUUAGGAGUCAGACUGCGAGUGAUAAGAUCCGUAGUCAAAAGGGAAACAGCCCAGAUCGCCAGCUAAGGUCCCAAAGUGUGUAUUAAGUGGAAAAGGAUGUGGAGUUGCUUAGACAACUAGGAUGUUGGCUUAGAAGCAGCCACCAUUUAAAGAGUGCGUAAUAGCUCACUAGUCGAGUGACUCUGCGCCGAAAAUGUACCGGGGCUAAAUACACCACCGAAGCUGCGGAUUGAUACCAAUGGUAUCAGUGGUAGGGGAGCGUUCUAAGGACAGUGAAGUCAGACCGGAAGGACUGGUGGAGUGCUUAGAAGUGAGAAUGCCGGUAUGAGUAGCGAAAGUCGGGUGAGAAUCCCGUCCACCGAAUGCCUAAGGUUUCCUGAGGAAGGCUCGUCCGCUCAGGGUUAGUCAGGACCUAAGCCGAGGCCGACAGGCGUAGGCGAUGGACAACAGGUUGAUAUUCCUGUACCACCUCUUUAUCGUUUGAGCAAUGGAGGGACGCAGAAGGAUAGAAGAAGCGUGCGAUUGGUUGUGCACGUCCAAGCAGUUAGGCUGAUAAGUAGGCAAAUCCGCUUAUCGUGAAGGCUGAGCUGUGAUGGGGAAGCUCCUUAUGGAGCGAAGUCUUUGAUUCCCCGCUGCCAAGAAAAGCUUCUAGCGAGAUAAAAGGUGCCUGUACCGCAAACCGACACAGGUAGGCGAGGAGAGAAUCCUAAGGUGUGCGAGAGAACUCUGGUUAAGGAACUCGGCAAAAUGACCCCGUAACUUCGGGAGAAGGGGUGCUUUCUUAACGGAAAGCCGCAGUGAAUAGGCCCAAGCGACUGUUUAGCAAAAACACAGCUCUCUGCGAAGCCGUAAGGCGAAGUAUAGGGGGUGACACCUGCCCGGUGCUGGAAGGUUAAGGAGAGGGGUUAGCGUAAGCGAAGCUCUGAACUGAAGCCCCAGUAAACGGCGGCCGUAACUAUAACGGUCCUAAGGUAGCGAAAUUCCUUGUCGGGUAAGUUCCGACCCGCACGAAAGGUGUAACGAUUUGGGCACUGUCUCAACCAGAGACUCGGUGAAAUUAUAGUACCUGUGAAGAUGCAGGUUACCCGCGACAGGACGGAAAGACCCCGUGGAGCUUUACUGUAGCCUGAUAUUGAAUUUUGGUACAGUUUGUACAGGAUAGGCGGGAGCCUUUGAAACCGGAGCGCUAGCUUCGGUGGAGGCGCUGGUGGGAUACCGCCCUGACUGUAUUGAAAUUCUAACCUACGGGUCUUAUCGACCCGGGAGACAGUGUCAGGUGGGCAGUUUGACUGGGGCGGUCGCCUCCUAAAGUGUAACGGAGGCGCCCAAAGGUUCCCUCAGAAUGGUUGGAAAUCAUUCGUAGAGUGCAAAGGCAUAAGGGAGCUUGACUGCGAGACCUACAAGUCGAGCAGGGACGAAAGUCGGGCUUAGUGAUCCGGUGGUUCCGCAUGGAAGGGCCAUCGCUCAACGGAUAAAAGCUACCCCGGGGAUAACAGGCUUAUCUCCCCCAAGAGUCCACAUCGACGGGGAGGUUUGGCACCUCGAUGUCGGCUCAUCGCAUCCUGGGGCUGUAGUCGGUCCCAAGGGUUGGGCUGUUCGCCCAUUAAAGCGGUACGCGAGCUGGGUUCAGAACGUCGUGAGACAGUUCGGUCCCUAUCCGUCGUGGGCGUAGGAAAUUUGAGAGGAGCUGUCCUUAGUACGAGAGGACCGGGAUGGACGCACCGCUGGUGUACCAGUUGUUCUGCCAAGGGCAUAGCUGGGUAGCUAUGUGCGGAAGGGAUAAGUGCUGAAAGCAUCUAAGCAUGAAGCCCCCCUCAAGAUGAGAUUUCCCAUAGCGUAAGCUAGUAAGAUCCCUGAAAGAUGAUCAGGUUGAUAGGUUCGAGGUGGAAGCAUGGUGACAUGUGGAGCUGACGAAUACUAAUAGAUCGAGGACUUAACCAU
rnacentral:rRNA from 1 species